GUGCCUGUAGCUCAAUGCAAAGAGCAGCCGGUUUUUACUACUGUGAAAAAUUGUGCAUUUUGCGGGUUGAAAUCCCGCCAGGUCCA
rnacentral:tRNA from 1 species